AUUGAACGCUGGCGGCAUGCCUUACACAUGCAAGUCGAACGGUAACGGGCCUUAGGGUGCCGACGAGUGGCGAACGGGUGAGUAAUACAUCGGAACGUGCCCGAUCGUGGGGGAUAACGAGGCGAAAGCUUUGCUAAUACCGCAUACGAUCUACGGAUGAAAGCAGGGGACCGCAAGGCCUUGCGCGGAUGGAGCGGCCGAUGGCAGAUUAGGUAGUUGGUGGGAUAAAAGCUUACCAAGCCGACGAUCUGUAGCUGGUCUGAGAGGAUGAUCAGCCACACUGGGACUGAGACACGGCCCAGACUCCUACGGGAGGCAGCAGUGGGGAAUUUUGGACAAUGGGCGCAAGCCUGAUCCAGCCAUGCCGCGUGCAGGAUGAAGGCCUUCGGGUUGUAAACUGCUUUUGUACGGAACGAAAAGCCUUCUUUUAAUACAGGAGGGUCAUGACGGUACCGUAAGAAUAAGCACCGGCUAACUACGUG
rnacentral:rRNA from 1 species